rnacentral:rRNA from 1 species
AGUGAACGCUGGCGGUAGGCCUAACACAUGCAAGUCGAACGGCAGCGCAGUAAGAGCUUGCUCUUACGGGUGGCGAGUGGCGGACGGGUGAGGAAUACAUCGGAAUCUACUUUUUCGUGGGGGAUAACGUAGGGAAACUUACGCUAAUACCGCAUACGACCUACGGGUGAAAGCAGGGGAUCUUCGGACCUUGCGCGAUUGAAUGAGCCGAUGUCGGAUUAGCUAGUUGGCGGGGUAAAGGCCCACCAAGGCGACGAUCCGUAGCUGGUCUGAGAGGAUGAUCAGCCACACUGGAACUGAGACACGGUCCAGACUCCUACGGGAGGCAGCAGUGGGGAAUAUUGGACAAUGGGCGCAAGCCUGAUCCAGCCAUACCGCGUGGGUGAAGAAGGCCUUCGGGUUGUAGAGCCCUUUUGUUGGGAAAGAAAAGCAGCAGGUUAAUACCCCGCUGUUCUGACGGUACCCAAAGAAUAAGCACCGGCUAACUUCGUG